rnacentral:rRNA from 1 species
GACGAACGCUGGCGGCGUGCUUAACACAUGCAAGUCGAACGGAAAGGCCCUGCUUUUGUGGGGUGCUCGAGUGGCGAACGGGUGAGUAACACGUGAGUAACCUGCCCUUGACUUUGGGAUAACUUCAGGAAACUGGGGCUAAUACCGGAUAGGAGCUCCUGCUGCAUGGUGGGGGUUGGAAAGUUUCGGCGGUUGGGGAUGGACUCGCGGCUUAUCAGCUUGUUGGUGGGGUAGUGGCUUACCAAGGCUUUGACGGGUAGCCGGCCUGAGAGGGUGACCGGCCACAGUGGGACUGGGGUGAGCCCAGGAACACAGGGGGGGGGAGCGGGGGGGAAUAUUGCACAGGGGGCGGAGGCAAGACGCAGACCCGCGGCGGGCGGGGUGCCGGCCUGCGGUUGGAAAACCUUUUGCGCCGGUAACGAGGGGGGAGGGACGGAAGGGGAAAAAGAACCCCCGGCUAACGCGGUG